GAUGAACGCUAGCGGCAGGCCUAAUACAUGCAAGUCGAGGGGCAGCACGGGUAGCAAUACUUGGUGGCGACCGGCGCACGGGUGCGUAACGCGCAUGCAAUCUACCUAUUACUGGAGAAUAGCCUUCCGAAAGGAAGAUUAAUGCUCCAUAACAUUAUGAUGUGGCAUCACAUUAUAAUUAAAGUUCCGGCGGUAAUAGAUGAGCAUGCGUGACAUUAGCUAGUUGGUGAGGUAAUGGCUCACCAAGGCUACGAUGUCUAGGGGCUCUGAGAGGAUUGUCCCCCACACUGGUACUGAGACACGGACCAGACUCCUACGGGAGGCAGCAGUAAGGAAUAUUGGUCAAUGGAGGCAACUCUGAACCAGCCAUGCCGCGUGAAGGAUGACGGCCCUAUGGGUUGUAAACUUCUUUUGUAUGGGAAGAAACUCCGAACGUGUUCCGGAGCUGACGGUACCAUAAGAAUAAGGAUCGGCUAACUCCGUGCC
rnacentral:rRNA from 1 species